rnacentral:misc_RNA from 1 species
GAUGAAGAACGCAGCGAAAUGCGAUAAGUAAUGUGAAUUGCAGAAUUCAGUGAAUCAUCGAAUCUUUGAACGCACAUUGCGCCCGCCAGUAUUCUGGCGGGCAUGCCUGUCCGAGCGUCAUUUCAACCCUCGGGCCCCCCUCUGCGGGCGGCCCGGCGUUGGGGCUCAGGCGCCGUCUCUGCUCGGCGCCUGUCCCCUAAAUGCAGUGGCGGCCUCGCCGCUGCCUCCUCCGCGUAGUAGCACAAACCUCGCGGCUGGAAGGCGGCGAGGCCACGCCGUAAAACCCCCCAACUUUACCAAGGUUGACCUCGGAUCAGGUAGGAAUACCCGCUGAACUUAAGCAUAUCAAUAAGCGGAGGA